rnacentral:rRNA from 1 species
GUCGUCAGCUCGUGUCGUGAGAUGUUGGGUUAAGUCCCGCAACGAGCGCAACCCUUGUGUUUAGUUGCAAACAGGUCAAGCUGUGCACUCUAGACAGACUGCCGUGGACAACACGGAGGAAGGUGGGGAUGACGUCAAAUCAUCAUGCCCCUUAUGAUCUGGGCUACACACGUGCUACAAUGGCCGGUACAACGGGCAGCGAAGGAGCGAUCCGGAGCGAAUCCUAAAAAGCCGGUCCCAGUUCGGAUUGCAGGCUGAAACUCGCCUACAUGAAGUUGGAGUUGCUAGUAAUCGCGAAUCAGAAUGUCGCGGUGAAUGCGUUCCCGGGUCUU